rnacentral:rRNA from 1 species
AGAGUUUGAUCAUGGCUCAGGAUGAACGCUGGCGGCGUGCCUAACACAUGCAAGUUGAGCGAGAAAUCACUUAAAGAAGCUUCGGUAGACUUAAGAGAUGGAGAGCAGCGGACGGGUGAGUAACGCGUGGGAAACCUGCCCUUGACAGGAGGAUAGCCGAGAGAAAUUUCGAUUAAUACUUCAUAAAGCAGAGCAUUCGCAUGGAUGAACUGCCAAAGAAUUAUCGGUCAAGGAUGGUCCCGCGUCUGAUUAGCUAGUUGGUAAGGUAAGGGCUUACCAAGGCAACGAUCAGUAGCCGGUCUGAGAGGGCGAACGGCCACACUGGAACUGAGACACGGUCCAGACUCCUACGGGAGGCAGCAGUGGGGAAUAUUGCGCAAUGGGGGCAACCCUGACGCAGCAAUACCGCGUGAGUGAAGAAGGUUUUCGGAUCGUAAAGCUCUGUUAUUGGGGAAGAAGCAGUGACGGUACCCAAUGAGGAAGUCCCGGCUAACUACGUGCCAGCAGCCGCGGU